CCCUUAGAUGUUCUGGGCAGCACGCGCGCUACAAUGGUCUUCGCAAACGGAUGCAUUCUCGAAGGAGAAUGCCAAUCUUGGAAUCUAUGCCUUGGUCGGGACAGUUGCUCGCAAUUUUUCGACUCGAACCAGGAAUUCCUUGUAAUCGUGAUUCAUCACAUCACGAUGAAUACGUCCCUGCCCUUUGUACACACCGCCCGUCGCUCCUACCAAUCGAAGAGUUAGGUGAAUUGUUUUGAUCGAUAAGAUUUGACUAUGGUCAACUCUCGUUGUGAAAUUCUGUGAAUCUGACUGUUUAGAGGAAGGAAAAGUCGUAACA
rnacentral:rRNA from 1 species